CCGGUGCCGAGCCGGCCCCAGCUACUGAGCAUGCCCGGCGCGGCGACGGGAGCCAAACGAGAGCGCUUGAAGCUGCGGUGGUAAACUACCUAAGGACAGAGAGAAGAGGGAAUACGUGCUCCCAGAGGGGGUAGACAAGGAGCCCUAAGACUGCAAACUCCUCAAGGACAAGAAAUGUAUUUCCUUUGUCUUUCCGGCCCUAGCACCUAUGCCAGUGCCUGGAACAGAGUACCUAUUCAGAAGUGGAUGUUGAUUCCCCAGGCAGAGCAGACCUUUAGAAAGAGACACACAGAGGGAAGACCAUGUGAAGACCCAGAGAGAAGACCACCAUCUGCAAGCUGAGGAGAGAGGCUUCAGGAGAAACCAACCCUGCCAAUAUUUGGACCUCAGACUUCUUGCCUCCAGAAUUGUGCCUGUAUGUGCUUCCUGGUUGACUUGGGACCAGCUCAGAGGAAAACUGCUCUGCUCUUAGUCUUAUGUGGUUCAUUUUUCCUUUCUAAUGAGGGACAACAGAUGGAGUCCAUUAUAUUCUUGUAAAGCCUUCCUGUUCCCUGUUUUCCCGCGAGGCCUUCCUGCUAAAACUGGCAAGAAGAGAGUGGCAACUUGAAGAUCACAAUUCUUUGACUUCAUCACCCCCAAAGCCUUUUAUUUCCAUUCCACUUUAGCUAAAUGUUCCCAUGGACAUACCUUAGUGUGUAGAAAAUUUAGUGCAU